ACCCCAAGAAGAAACACUAAGGCAAAUGAAUCCUUUCUCUUGGAGUUCUAUUAAUUGCUUCUUUAAUUCUUCUAUUUCAGCUCUCACCAGUCUGUAACGAGUAAUGGAGAUUAGUUGGGUGCCUAGUUGUAAAUCAAUGAAAAAUUCUAUUUCACGGUCUGAAGAUAAUCCUAGAAGUUCAUCAGGGAAUACAUUUGGAUACUUACAGACCACCAACACAUCAUAAAAAUCAAUCUUUUUAUCUUUAUC
rnacentral:lncRNA from 1 species